AUGAAGUUCUUCCAUGCAGCAUUCUGCCCAAAACGACAAGAAGUUGAACUCAUUGAAAGGUGGAAAACCCGGAAAUUCAUGCCCUAGGCCAGCCCAUAGAGUUCGUUCGAGGAGAGACCAAGCGAGACUUGCAAUUACUGAUGAAAUUGCAGUGUAGCUGCGAGUGGAUUUAACAGCUAUUGUAUUGUUUGAUGAGGAAAGGGGGCUGUUCAGAUGUGAGUGUCUGUAUAGGUAGUCUUUCUUGGCUCCAGAUUCUAAAGACCAAAUUUUCCAUUGCCCAGUUGCCAAGCAGAUGAAGGGGAAGCAGACAAGAAUGCGGUAGAGUUCAUAGCAUUAAACAACACAGACUGGCCAUUCUCCAAUUAUGAACUUCAGAUUGGACAGGCUGUUGAUAAGUCUGCCUUGAUCCAUGUUAGGCCACUGCUCCUUGGUAGCUCAGUGUUCUUCUAUCUCUUUUUUUGGUUAGCUAUAUGUCACAGGCCUAGAUUUCCAACGUGGUGGCACGUCUGUGUGGCGACCACAUUGGGCAAGAAUCAAGGGACUCGGUCUGUAUGUCAUGCAUUUCAAUUUCACUAUGCUGAUUGGUUUCGUCCUCUCAUGGACUCAUCAGGGAACGACUCCAGCUCCCAACCAGUUUGUGUAGGGGUGGUCAAUCUCUUCUUCAUUGUCAAGUCUAGCAACAAGCUCCCCAAAAUUAACCGGUCGGCUAACUCUAAAGAAGCUUCCAACAUCACUUAUACACCCUUUCCCUGGAGCAAUUUCCAUUUCAUUAUGCUCAAACCAGCCAACAUACUAGUCUUGAUCGGCACCUUCGCUAUGGUCACAGACACCAAUCAAACAGUUCGUGACAUAUAGCUGUGGAUUCUGUCUUCUGAUACAGAAAGAAACUGAUCAGUCUCCAGUUUGUUUCAAGCAUAUUGGGAACUACUACUGUGACACAUUAUUCAUACACAGAGUUUGAAGCAGCCACCCAUGGCUUCAAGGAGAUAUCAAGCAGAGGAGAUUGACCAAUUUAGUCGGCUUCUGGUACACGAAUACAUGAGCAAUGUCUCUUCACUCACUUUUGGGGUUGUAAUAAGGCUAAUGCACUUUCAAAAAGAGUGCAGCACCCAGAUCAUCCAUUGUGAUAUAAAGCCCCGAAACAUUCUCCUAGACCGGCAUUUCACGCCUAGGAUUUCAGAUUUUGAACAAGCAAAGCUGUUGUUUGCUGAUCAAACUUAAACUACUCUUAGGAGGAGGUGGCAUAAGAGGGACCAUAUGCUACUUCGCCUCGAAAUGGUUCAGGAAAGGAACAAUCACAGCUAAAGUUGAUGUUUACAACUUUGGUGGAAUGUCGCUAGAAAUCCUCGGUUGCAAAGGAAGAUGAAGAGGAUGCACUAAUGGAUGGAGCUUAUGAAUGGUUGGUGCAAAGGAAAUUGGCAAGCUGGUGGAAGAUGAUGAGGAGGCAAGCUGGUGGAAACUUAAUUAUGAAUGAUAUAAAGAGCUGGAGAGGCUAGUGAUGGUGGCAAUUUGGUGUAUUCAAGAGGAUCCAGCUCUAAGGCCAGCAAUGAAGAAGGUUACACUGAUGCUGGAGGGUGUAGUUGAAGUUUUUGUGCCCCCACGCCCUUUAGGAAUUUUUGUCCGUUCAUCUUGAAUUAUUGUCUUUUUUAUCAUUUGUAUAAAAAUAAAUUUAUACAA